rnacentral:misc_RNA from 1 species
GAUGAAGAACGCAGUGAAAUGCGAUACGUAAUGUGAAUUGCAGAAUUCAGUGAAUCAUCGAAUCUUUGAACGCAUAUUGCGCUCUUUGGUAUUCCGAAGAGCAUGCUUGUUUGAGUAUCAGUAAACACCUCAACCUCUUCUUGAUUUUUCAAAAGGAGGGUGGACUUGAGCUAUCCCAACAACCUUUACCGGUCGGCGGGCGGCUUGAAAUGCAGGUGCAGCUGGACUUUUAUCUGAGCUAAAAGCAUAUCUAUUUAGUCCUCGUCAAACAGGAUUAUUACUUUUGCUGCAGCUAACAUAAAGGAUAAUUGUCCUCUUUGCUGACUGAUGCAGGAUUUUACGACACUUUAUGUGUUGUUCAACUCGAUCUCAAAUCAAGUAAGACUACCCGCUGAACUUAAGCAUAUCAAUAGCGGAGGA